rnacentral:rRNA from 1 species
UGGGGAAUUUUGGACAAUGGGGGAAACCCUGAUCCAGCCAUCCCGCGUGUGCGAUGAAGGCCUUCGGGUUGUAAAGCACUUUUGGCAGGAAAGAAACGUCGCGGGUUAAUACCCCGCGAAACUGACGGUACCUGCAGAAUAAGCACCGGCUAACUACGUGCCAGCAGCCGCGGUAAUACGUAGGGUGCAAGCGUUAAUCGGAAUUACUGGGCGUAAAGCGUGCGCAGGCGGUUCGGAAAGAAAGAUGUGAAAUCCCAGAGCUUAACUUUGGAACUGCAUUUUUAACUACCGGGCUAGAGUGUGUCAGAGGGAGGUGGAAUUCCGCGUGUAGCAGUGAAAUGCGUAGAUAUGCGGAGGAACACCGAUGGCGAAGGCAGCCUCCUGGGAUAACACUGACGCUCAUGCACGAAAGCGUGGGGAGCAAACAGGAUUAGAUACCCUGGUAGUCCACGCCCUAAACGAUGUCAACUAGCUGUUGGGGCCUUCGGGCCUUGGUAGCGCAGCUAACGCGUGAAGUUGACCGCCUGGGGAGUACGGUCGCAAGAUUAAAACUUAAAGAAUUGACGGGGGUGCU